GGACGAGGCUCUGAGCAAGCUGGGCUAGUGGAAGGUGUCCCUGCCCAUGGUAGGGGGUAGAACUGGCUGAUCUUUAAGGUCUCUUCCAACCCAAACCAUUUUGUGUUUUUAUAAUCUGCCAAGUCUCUGCUGUGAGGUUCAGAGCAGCACCAUGACGUAGCCUGUGUAUCCAGAUGAGAGUGGCUCCCUGCUCCUUUCCUUUCUCAAGCAUUAGAACAGGUCUCCUUUGGUAAUUUGUGCUUUUAGUACAGCUCUGGUUGGAAGCAACAGCAAUCACAGGACCAAAGAGCAAAAGCUGCAUAGUCUAGAAGCUUUGAGGAUUGUUUUCCUGCUGAUAAUUGCUAUUGAUAAUGAUUUUGUGGCAAUCACCUCUAAACUAUGCUGGAGAUAGCCAGGUUUUUCACUGGUUAAUAUGUUUUUUAAUCUCUGAUGGAGUUGUCUGAGUUGUCACACAUUCUACAUAAUUGAGUUCCUUAUUACUGUGCCUGUCAUUCAUGUCCCUGCAAUCCCCUUUUUUCUUGCCAAAUCACUGAAUGAAAAACCCAAUUCACUUUGGCACUAAGAGCUCCCCUAAUACUAUUUCAGUGAAGGAGCAAUGUUGGGGGUUAUUUUUCUACUGAGUUCUUCCUGAAAGUAAAAGCCCUGAGGCUUUUGUGUGCAGUCCCUGCAGAGCUGCCCUCACAGUUGUGCUGACAUUCAUCAAAGGACACCCAUUCCUGGAGUGCAAAAGUACAACAUUGCUGAGGACAUCUCUCCAUCUGCCAGCUGUGCUAGUGAACAUCUGCAACUGCACCACUGGGAAUAUUUCAGGAAGAGGGAAGGUUUUAAAAAAUAAAAUAUGUUUCAUGGUAUUAAAAAAAAAACCAUCCAGUUUAUGUGAACAAUGAAAUAGUUUGCCCCAAAUGAAAUUGGUGAAAAUUCACUGCAGGUGAUUUUUUUUUCACCAGGGUAAAAAGGAUUUGAUGGAAAAGUUUUGUGUCUGUAAUUUUGAGUCAUAUACAUCAACAUAAAUAACUCAACAAACAUUUCUUAAACUACCAGAUGGAUAUAAUAAAAUAUAGUUCUAUCUACAUGUGACAGAUAAAUCAGACCAGUCCUUUCUAUCAGUUCCAUUGAUUCACACAGAUAAAUCAUUGAAUCCUUUUUAGGACUGGGGCACCAAAAAUAUAGAAAUGAAACCUGCUGGUUCAUGAGCAAUUAGAAAACUUCAAGGAAAGGUCUUUAAAGAAAGCUCUGCAGGAAAGAAAAAAAAAAAAAAAAACCAACUAAAAAAAGGUGUAAAGUUCACUGUAAAGUCCACAAUAAUUGUCUCCCUGACCCUGGGUCAGCAAAAACCCAGUAUGCUAUCAAAGGUCAGUCAAACCCUCUUCUAGACUGGAUUGCCCUUCUAACCCCCUGACCCCCCCCAAAUUCAAAGCCUUCAUCCUAAAUCACCUUUCCCAAAAAUAUUUGUUUAAAUUCUUCCAUUGUUUCCAUAAAUCAUAGAAAUGCAAUAGCUGUCCAGCAGCAUCAGCACAUGAUGUCUUUCAAUGAAAAACUCCCAGCACAUCAUCUGCCUAAUUCCUAAAGCUGCUUUGAAAAGCUAAUCUUUGGUGCCUUGCCCUUCACAAACGUUUGUCAUGGAUCUGGUGACAGACACAAUGCAGUGGUAUGAGAACUGGUGCUACCCUCUAGUUUAUUUGGAGUUUGCUAAUGAUCUGUGCCCACUGGGGAAAGAAGAGGAUGUAUCCACACCCCAGGUGGCCCCAUGUGACCAAACUGAACCCCAUCACUUGGCUUUGGGCUGUUUCUUGGAGGAUGGGGGUCCAGGCUCCUGGUUCUACAUUGGUCCCCCCAUGUGGGACUGAAUCACUGCAGCUCUCUGCAUUUUCCCCUGAUGCAGUUGCUGGAGAUCACUUAGUAUCUCUGUCACACCCCUCCAAAUAUUCUCCUGUCAUUAAAAACAGUGACUCCCCCAGGGACACAGGCUGGAUAUAAGGGGAUGACUCCAGCUGAGUUUUCCCUGCUGUGAGUGAGUGAGUGAGUUCCCACUGUUCUCCUGUUCUCUGCCCCCUCAUUUGGUGGUCUGGACUUAUUUUGAACACACCACAGGCUUGAUGUCAGCCCUUUGUGUUGGUCCGAAGGAGUGCUUCAAACUGACUGCUUUCCAGCCGAGAUCCCUAGUCUUUUUCUGUCUGCAAAGUUAUCAUGUCCUGAAGAAACCUGCAGAAAAAUGCUGGCCCGGUUCCCACUUGACCGGGCCGGGCUCCCCAGCGUGGCACUAGAGGUCAAUGGUUCACUCCUGUGGAAUUCCAGGAAUCUUCUUCAUUCGUUUCUAGUCCCCUAAUCAGAUAAACCGUGUGGGGAGAGGCAAGGGGUGGGGAGGAGUAUGUAAUGUAACCUCUUAUUCUGGAAAAGUUGCGCGACAACCCCACGGUGCCUGCGGCUCGCGGUGGGGUUUAGGUGGCCACCACUGGGAGACUGAAGAAGGUGGCCUGAAGAUCCACCAUGGCUGUGGGAGACCUCGCAGGAAAUGCACUUACCUCCCUUGUGAAGAGGAAGGCUGAGUGCAGUCUGCAGCUCCUUGUCUUGCCGGCUCCACCGGCGCCGCGACUGGCUGGGGACAGCCCUGUAGAAAGGGAUGCUCGGAACCGGCUGUGCUGCUGCGGUGAGUCUGCUCCUCCUUCAUGCUUUUUCCCGACGGGUUUGGGGGGAAGGAAGGGAAGUGGAGUGAGCUGGAAUGCAUGUGGAUUUUUUGGGGACUUGUAACCGUGUGGAAUCCCUGUGGGAUUGACUCUGAGCCCGCUGAUAAUCGCCGACUAAUCUGGCUGCUGGCAGAGUCCACCCGGAUAACACGGGCAGGUGGCUCUGAGUUAGGAUGGGUGUGACACCUCCCAGGGGUCUCUGGCUUUGUGUCAGAGGGACACCCCAAAAAGGAGGUUGACUCUAAGGAUUAAUUGCAGGAGAGAAAUUUGGGGUAGUCUGUCACCAACACGAUAUUGGGCAUGAGUGUCACAGUCUGUGAGGAAGGGUCAAAGGAGAAAAUGUGCUUUUCUGAAUGCCAGCAGGAGAUGAAACUGGGAGGAAGCUGGUCCUAUGUGUUUGCUAAUGGAGAGAAGUGGAUCAGGUAGCUCAAGCUCUUGAAACUAACUGCAGUAAAGUAUUUUCUAGGAGAACUUCCAAGUGCCUUUGAAAGCAUCUCCCUACUAAAGCAAAGAAGGGGAGGAUCAUGAUAAACUUGGGAUGGCUUCAACUUGGCAGAAAACUCCAGAAUUCUACAACUGGAUUCUUGAAAGUGGAGAUCCAAGGACAGGCCCGUGGCCACUGGUUUACUCCUCACUUCCAGUUGCCCUGGUCUUCACCUCCUACCUCUUCAUGGUAGCACUGGGACCACCCUGCAUGUAGCAGCAGCGGCGGCUGGAGCUGCGGGCUCCACUACUCACCUACAACCUGGCCAUGGUGGCAUUAUCCAGCUACAUGUUCUACGAGGUGAGGAGGCAGGAUUGGCUCCUAGACCCCGGUUAGGCAGGGAUACAGUGUGAUUGAAGAUGUGUUGAUUUUGAGUAAAGCUCUAACCGCCGUGCCUUGUGCUGCCCAGCAGAUGGCAGAAGUGUGUGGGUGGUUCUUCUUCUCCAAAGUCAUCGAGCUGCUGGAUACGGUAAGGAGGGCUCAGCUCCUCAGCGGUAAGGAGGGCUCAGCUCCUCAGCGGGAGCAGGGCUGGACACAAAUACUUCUUUGUCAGAAAGGGGCAGUGUGCCAGAACUGAUGUCCUGGGUUUAUCCUGUAUUGAUUUGCUGCCUGUCUCCAUCCCUUGGCUGCACACACUCCCUCCCCAGCACCCUUCCUGAGGCUAGGCACAGUGCUAGGGGAGAGGCUUUACCCCUGGCUGCUGCCAUGUGGGUCCCCAAAAUUUUGGCUGCUGGUGCCACACAGGUUCUGCUAAUGCCUGGCUGGCUGAUUAACAGUGGGGCUGAGAAGGAGCUGGACAAGUCCUGGCAUCUCCACUGCCAUGGAUUUUCCCAGAGCUCUGCACUAAAGGUUGUGUCCUGGAGGAAUUGAAAGUCCAGCUCUUUACAGCUUGUCUUCAGGUGUUCUUCUGUGCUGUAAAUGAACUAAGUGACUGGACAAGGCCUCUGCUUGGCCAGCAAAAGACAGCAGUGUCCUAGCCUGAAAUUCCACAGCUCUCUGGGGUGUAAGUUCACAACCCACUGAAAUGUGAAUAAACAUGUGCAUCCUUCCUACGCCUAUUGCCAGGGUUUUGGCCAAUCCCUUCUCUGUUUGCAUCAGCAACAAAAAGAGCUUUUUGCCAGUCCUGAGUGCCUGAAAAGCAGAUUCACUUUUUGUUGUGUAUGUGUAUGAAUGUGCAUGGUGAAAUGCAGUGACCCGACACGUAUUCAUCUGGCAAAACUAUUCUCUUUACUAAUGCAAAUUCCAGGAGGGUUUGGCCAUUCAACACAGUGGAUUUUCUGUGGGUUAUUGUCUGGUAGCAGUAUGUAUACAACCUAUGUCCUGAAAAGGAGCAGAUCCAAGCAGCUGUGAAUUGUAUGGUAGCUCAGUCAGAGUCUCAGAUGUGUCCUCUUUGGACUUUGGGUCCUGAAUCGAGACAUAAAAAUAUUUGGGGCUUUGUGGAAGAAAUUCUGUCUUCCAGCUCCCCCUAUAAGUUCUAUUGCGUUUCACCAGUUUUUGUCAAUGGCAGAGGAAAUGGGUUUGGGAGAUUCAGACUCAUCAUUAGCUAUUUUUAUAACUUUUUGCUGUGAAAUUUUUGUCUAAACACAUCGACUCAACUUUUUCCUUUGCCUGGCUUCUUUCAGGUUUUCUUAAUUCUGUGCAAGAAACAAGAGCAGGUGACAUUUCUGCACGUGUACCAUCAUGGCUCUAUGCUCUUCAUCUGGUGAUCAGGGGUCAAAUAUGUGCCUGGAGGACAAGGUAUGCUUGCAAGAAAUGCUGCUGCAAGAAAACUUUGUGUUUCUCAUGGAUUUUUUGGGCCAUGGAGGUAGCAUUAACAGUGCAGAUGGGCUGACUGGCAGGUAGGAAGCCCACUUACUUCCAAAGGUGAGAAAAACAUGUGCAUUUCAGAUGAUCCCAUCUGCUCAGCUCUUGGGGCUAUUUAGGCUGCCCUGUUCAUUGCCUCACCCAGAAUAACCGUGUACCAUCAGAGUGGGUCCAAACAGAAGAAAAUAACAUCCCACAGAUGGUCUAUGUAUAUCUCCUCCCAGAGCAGUGCUCCCUCUCUCCCCACUCAGAGGCCAUGGGGCAGCAGCCCAGGUUCUGGCUCUGUUUCCUGCUCUUGCUGUGCCCAUUUCUGGGCUGUACCCAGAAUGCUGCCCCUUUUUGCUCAACUGGAAGAGAAGCAUCUGGGUACUAAGCCACUCUAGGUAGGUCCUAUACAAGAUGCUGGGGCAUUCUUUUUUUGGGAAGUCAUUUUGGCUACACGGCCUUGACACCAGAAUGGUGUGAAAUGCUUAGGUCAGAUGAUCAAAGUCUCUCCUCUGCCUUUGAAGCCCUUCUCUGUCUCUGAACACUUGAUAUGGGAUGGCUAUAUCAUGGAUGCCCCAAUGCUGGCAGUGUUCAAGGCCAGAUGAGAUGGGGCUUUGGGGCAGCUCUAGUGCGAUAUGUGCCUUGGGGGUUGGAGCUGACGGCCUUUAAGGUCCCUUCCAACCCAACCCAUCCAAUGAUUGUGGAUGGUGAAGGAAGGGAGAAGCUGACCUGCUUCCAUGGUGUUCUGGUUUUGCAUGGGAGGUAUGAGAUCCCAGGUGGAAUGUUCAUGCACAGAGAUGAGUGUGGUGUGUUUUGGAAGCAUCAUCAUAGUGGCUGUGAGCCCUUCACGGGGUUAGCCUGGAAUAGGUCGUGUGCCUUGUUCACCCUCACUUCUUCACUCCUCAGCCUUCUUUGUUGGGAUGCUGAACUCCUUCGUCCACAUCUUCAUGUAUGGCUACUACGCCCUGGCCAGCCUGUGACCGCAGAUGUGCCAGCACCUGUGGUGGAAGCAUUACCUGAACAUCCUGCAGCUGUGCCAGUUUGUGGCCAUUACUGCUCAUUCUUCCUACAACCUCUUCACAGAGUGCCCGUUCCCUGAUGGCUUCAACAUCGCAGUCUUCCUCUACAUCCUCAGCCUCCUGGCUCUCUUCCUAUGCUUCUAUUAUCAGACCUAUGUCAAGGGGAAGCGGGAAAAGCUGACUUGAAGUAAAUCAAAGAGGACAGAGAGUGCAGCCUGAUGAACAUGAGCAUUCUCUUGUGACAUGGUUUCAGGAAGAAAAUGUAUCUAAGGAGUGUGUGUGAGGCUCAUGUCUUGCCUUCAAAUAUCCCAGGUUAGGGAGAAGAAAGUAAUGAUGUAAACUCAGGGAUUAAGGAACUGAGGAGCACACUUAAUUAAGCUGAGGCCAAGCUAAGCCAAGUAGUCACCAGCAUAGCAGGCUUUGGGACAUUUGCAAGAUAAGGUCUUUUUCCCUUCCAUCUUUAAUUCGGUGUCCAAGGUCUAGCAGCCAGCUACAGCUCCCUGCCUCAUUUCUUAGGCUGUAGAGGGUUUCUUUGCAUCCACAGAACUAUCUCAACUUGGUGUUGUAUGUCAGGCAGGGUCAUGUGCCUCCAGUCUGGAAAUCAAUGUCCAGGUAGCAGCAGCAGCCAGGAAUCCACAGGGACUGCAGGAUGUACACUGCAUCCCACCCUGUUCUGCUAAGGAAGCUCCUACUAGGCUGGGGUGGUCCUGAUAGUUUAACUUCUUAUCAAUAUAAGCAGCAAGGAAAUUGGACAUUAGGUUGUCUGGCUGGACAGGUGUCUUCAUUGUCCUAAAAAGGCAUUAUUAGCACUUUCAUCCUAAUAAGAAACCAGUGCAGUAAGAGUCACCAUGUCCCAUUUUCUGGAAUGCUUAUUUCCCUUUGGUUGCUCUCAUACCAAUAGAGGAUUUUAAUGCUUGAAGAUACUUGGUAUUGCUCCUUGUAGAUGCUAUAAUUGAGAAAGAAUAGACUGAUAUUCCCUAUUCAUAACUUUUUUCUCCAAUUUGUUAUUAUUUUUAAUACUGUUGUUUUAAAAUUUUGCUUCUUGUCAAACAUAAAGAGUUUAACAACACCAUAAGCGACCACCUCCACUACCUAAUUGUAUAAGAAUUAAUAACAGAAUGUAUAAAAUUAAUUCAUUGGGUAGUGCAAAGCUGCAUAUCUCCAUUGAUUUUAAGACAUCACUAAUUGGCUUCUUUUCUUUGCUCCUAAAUCAACUACAACUAGAAUUUGGCAGUUAUAUUCAUCUGCAGACUCUUAAAUACUGUUAAAGUUUUGAUGUGAUAGUACUUUGAAGAUCCUAAUUAAACUACAAAGUGGUAAUUAUUGAUUGAAUCCUGCUCAGCUGAUUACAACUAGUACUACAGAGUAGUGGUAUUUUGUGGAACACAAAGGUGUUGAAGGAGAGAGUUGAAAUUAGUGACAUGAUGCAUUGUCAUUUCCAAGCCAAAUCCACCUCAAAUAUAAGGAAGUCCAACUCCACUGGGAAUGUCCAGAGGACUAAAGCUGGCCUGAACCUAGCAAAUGGAUGUACCAAAAGACCUGUGUGCCCUACACCAAUCUGGAGUCGAGUGGCUACAAAAACUAAAUUCAACUUGUUCCUCGCUGCUCUGUGUUUGUACCCCAAUCCUCUCCUUCAGCCCCUCUACACACAUGCGGAAGAUAAAAUAAUAUUCUGCCAUUCCUCACCUGUGAGUGCCAUGGGACAGAGGGAGAGAAACGGCAAGUGCUUCUCACAGCAGCUUGUGAGAAUUUUCAGGGAGUUGUAAGAAUGUGAUAAUUUAUUAGUAUAAACAAUCUGCAGGUGGUGUUUUUCUACUUCAUCUUUCUGUUCCUCUCAAGGAUGGUGUAUGAGAAAGGUGUCUUUGUUAACUAGCCAAUCAAAUAGAAUGUAUUGUAUCACUCUAUAUAAACCAUGCAGUUCUCUUGAAUAAAGCCUUCUUUGCUCUUUCUACAAUACUGCCUUGCCACGGUGCGCUAAGUCCCGGCUAGAUGAUAGCAGGGGUGCGACAGAGCCCCCCUUUCAAGCGCCGCUGAAUCCCAGCUACCAGUGGAGGUUCAGCGCAGAAACAAAAAGGCAGCAGCACAAGUCCUAGGGUGGAACUGGGGUGACUUUAUUCGAUGGCAAAACUCUCCAAGUCCAGGGUCCCAGGACCGCGAACUGAGGGCAGACAAUAGCUUAAAAAUGGGGGGAGGUCUCAGGGGAGGAUACAAUCUUUAACUAAUCGGGAGAACUGUGGGUGGAACACAAGGCAGGGAAUACAAUUUGUAAACCAAUGAAGGAUGUCAAGGGAGGAGAACAGCUCAAGUAAACUAAUGGGGUUUCGAAGGAUACAAAACUGACAGGGAAGUUUCUAAAGGGAAAGGCAGGUUCAGGAAGAGAUUGACAUUUAAUGGAAGGAAAAGUAAGGAAGAGUAAGGAAGAUUCUGGGGAAAGGGUAGGGACAGGAGAGGUUAACAACUGGGAAUGGCAGGGGGUUUAAAACUUGCCAGGGAGUAGCUAGGUAACAAGCAGAAAAACCGACACUUAACUGAACUAAAUAACAAUGAGGGAGCAAGUCUAAUUUUAGAAACGUAAGAUACAAAAUGGGGGGCUUGUGCCACUCCAAAGACAGGGGGAGGACAAUACAGAGGGAUUGCAAAACCACAAAUUAAACAGUGAUCACGCCAAAUUUAAAAAAAUGCACUACAACACUGCCUCUCACCUGUUCCUGUGUCAUUCUUGGCGCAAGAGUGACACUCACCCUCCUCCCCUUCACACACAGCCACUAAGGACUUGUUCAUGCUGUCACAAGGUCACAUCAUCAGUGUCCUUCCUUUGAUUUGAGCAGUCUCUCUUCUGGUUGUCACUGGUGAGUAUGAGAAUCACUGCAUCUGUGCUAGUUGGUUUUCUUCCUGUCAACUAUUUUUCUGUGUUAAUAAAUUAAUAAAUAGUGACACUUUCAAAUACUGGAAUUCUUCUUCUGUCAGAAUUUUAACUAGCAAAUCCCUGGGUGGGUCCUUCAUUCCUCCCUUUGCUUGGAAAGACAGGAAAACAGGAUCUGCUGUGUAUCUAACAUAUUCAUGGGGAGGGUUUCCUCUGGGGGCUCCCCAGAGCUGAAGGCUCAGUGCAAGUAAAGCUGUUUCAUUACUCCAGUCCACCUAAUGAUUCAUUUACAGCCCUCUCCUGCUUACAUCAUCAGUACCUUUGGCCCCCUAGUUUCGUGGUAGAGAAUUUCCUGCAGCUGGCUAAAUUAUCUGUGCUCACAAAGCAAUCUAAUGCUCUUUUUCCUAUACAUGAGUAGGUUUCAACCUCAGUUUCCCCUCACUUUAAUGUUUUCAGAAUGUAGUAACUAAGUUCACUCAUAAUUUUAUACCAGAAUAAGCAUCAUGUAUUUUGAUUUUCCUUGAUUCAUGACUGCUUAAAAAUUGGAAAUGAGCACGAAAUCUGAAUGAGGUUAUUCCUUGCUUUUCCACUCUUAAAAUACAUGAAUUUGUAAACGUGCCAUUUACCUUUUUUUAAGGCAGCCUAUGCAGCAAUGGAUUCUGGAGUGUCAUUGGCCACAUAGGUGGUAACAAAACAUGAAAGUACAAAUCUGUCACCUGACAGCUUGAAGUGACUGAUCACCUAAAUCAGAGACCGCUGUCACCACUUGUUCUAGACAUGAAACCUUUGAUUUAUUCCUGUCCCUCUUCCUCACAGCCUGAGAGGCCUGAUCUUGGAUGAGUAAGAGCUUUUUGUUGGUGUGACUUUGAUGGCACGGGAUGAAAAUGAAGUAUUUUCAGUCAAAUGAUAAGGAGGGAUUGAGUUUGCCCAGAAACAUCAUGCUUUUCAUACAGAAACAGACACUGGCAUGGAGCACAGCUGUUACCGAAGCAUUGAUGCAAGCAAAAUUCAUUUGUGAGGGUAUUUGCACUGGCAGUGAAGAAAAAACUGCAGUGUUACAGUUGAGUGGUUCUGCAGGUUACUUCUUCAGAGUGCCCUUGUUUGUCUUCAUUCUCCUGUAUUAAAAUUGGGUUGUCGCAGUUGUGACUGUCCACCUAGGCAACCGUGUUGUGACAAAAAACCUGAGAGCACAGCUAUGUCCUCCUGGAAUUUAACAGAGAAUAAAGGCACCAAAUGGGAUUUCCCCUCUAAAAUCAAUCCCCUGGAAUGAAAGACUACAUCACAGCAUAGCAAUGGAAGUCAAAAGGGAAAGGAAAUUAUAAACUGCAAGCUUGGAUGGCUCAUGCUGUCUGGUAGAGUCCAAAGCUUUGAGGAUGGGCUGAAAAUACCCUGUCACAGCUGCAUUUGUGAAAAACCUCUGGGCCAAAUGCUGUUUCUACCAAUAUGAGUGACAAAGGCUGCAGUUCCUCUGGACCAAGACUGGCACAGCUGUGUGGAAAGCAGCAUGCUCAGCUGCACUGCUGUGUUUGCUGGGAGCAGGGGUGUUAUUCAAUCCUACAAACAGAUGCCUUUUGAGGGCAUGGUGGUGUGCAAGUCUCCCUCUUACAAACUGUGGUUCAUUAGAUGUUCGUAGAGCAGUUUACAUGAACAAGAUGUAAAGCAUAGUGCAAGUAGCCUGCUGAAAUGAAUAACCUUGAUAUCUAUUAGUGCUCAGCAUCUUUCCUGCUGUUCCAGUCAAUAUAAAUUAUGGAUGUUCUGAUCAAAUUACUUUUGAAUUAACCAAGCCAUUUACUCAGUGUUUACUUUCUCCCUGAAGAUAAAUGAGAGGGAUUCUCAUUUUAAUCAAAACAAAAUACAGAAAAGAAAAUCAAUUACUAUUUAAUGUUUUUUCCAUCCCCAUGUGAUGGAAAGUUUCCAGAGGAACCUGGGAUUAAAAUUGCAAAGCAAUAUAAUAUGCAGGGACAUGGUUGGGUUUUAACUAUUGGAUUUUUUAAUGUACUAUCAGAAAACAUGGCUGUGCCGUUUGUUUUUUAAAAAGGCAAAAGAAUUACUCUAAACAAUUAACAAGUAAAAGCAGAAUACAGUAGAUUGCUUCACCCAAAAAAUAAAAAUCUGUUGAUACAGAUGUAAACCACCUAGAAGCCAAACACUUAAAAAGAUCAGCCAGCCCUAUAUAUAGAACAGUGUGAAUGUGCUGAAUUCAUUAAUAAAUAGCUUCAUAGAUUAAGGCUUGAUAGAUGGAGUGCUCCAUCCAGAUGUUUACUGUGAUUUGUCAAUGGCCUGGUACUUAAUCCUCCUGGACAGGAAAUACAAGUCUUUUCACUAGGUUCUCCCCUGGGGACUGGCUCUCUCUGGCCUGAAUCGGCUCAGCACGGGAACAGGCUGCUGAGGAAUUAACCUAGUGUCAGAGGCACGGAUUUGCCUUUAACCCUUUCGGUUUCCUCUCAGCUUCAGAAGAUUUCAUCACUAUCUGUCACAACCUCGCUGGUAUUUAGUCAACACAUGGAAAAGGAAAAAAAGGAGUCAUUCAUGUCACCCCUGGAUCCCUGUACCCACAAAAUGUGCCGAGGGAGGCAUAUGGAGUCCCAUCAGCACUGAGGAGGAGGAGAGCUGUGGGCAUCCUCAAGAGCUUGGUGUGCCACUCUUCACUGCUCAGCAUCAUGUUUUUAUUUUUGUGAUGCUGCCACUCCUUGUCAGUGACAGGGAUGGCCCAGGAGGUAGUAUUAGUGAGAAGACUGAUGUCCCCAAGGUGUCCUCAGUCAGGAGAGUGUAGUGUGUGCAUGAGUCAGUUUGGGUGUGGGUAGGUGAAUGCAGCCCCUGCAGACAGUCCCCACGGCUCAUUUCUCAGCAUGUGGGACCUCUCUAUGGGAUGGGUCCUUCAUCUCAUUGUGGGACACUGAAGGACAGCUCCCAGCAGCCACAUCUGCUAUGGAAUGGCACAGUGGGAGCUGCAGUGAAUGCUAGGUUUUGUUGUGGAUGUGCAGGACUGUAAAGGACUGAUUUAUUGUGUUCAACUUCUGGCUAAAUCACAAGUACAUGGACAAAUAAAUUCUUUUCAGGGACUGCCUGGUUAAAACAUUAGUAGCACAUCUCAGCACUAUUCUUCCCUAGUCUGCGUGUCGUCCUUUCUCUCCAGUACCUUGGCUUUCUGCUGCUCUUCAAGAGCAUGUCUUUACACUGAGCUGUAAAAAUGAAGGCUAUUAAAUAAAAAAUGUCCUUUCAAAUUCCCUGUUUGGAGUAGAUGCUCCUUCCCCUUUAACAUCAUCCUCCCACUUUCUCUUGUCCCUUUUCUCUGCUCUCCUUUUGUACCCACACAUACAGACACUGUAAUAGAUUCUCAGACCUUUUAGAGCUGCAAAGAAAGUAGCUACAAGUUACUCAAAUGCUGUACGAGCAGCUGCAUUUUUCUGAUCUAUCAAUUAAUAGUGUACAUUUUCUUCAUAGGGUUUUCUGCAAGGCUUUAAUCCAAGUGAAUUUGGGCAAGUCUUUAUUUUUCCUUGCACUUUAGCAUAAUCCCAUCUGCCUUCAAAUUCAGGAUGUGAACACUGCAACUUGAUACUUAAAAAAGCUAGAAGCUUGAAUUAGAACUUAAAUUUGGUGUGGUCCCUCCAAGGCAUUCCCUGCUAUUGAUGAAGGAAUGGCAGAAUGGAUACAAACAUCUGAGAGGCAGCAAUUUACUGCUCUUCUGUACACUUUAUUCUGCUCUGAGAGGUGCCCACCAUCACAGAUGUCUGAGGAUGUUUUCUCCUGAAAUAAUAGAUAGUUAUUCCUGAGGCAAUGUUUGGAGGGAUAAUGCCUUGCUGACAGAGCUGGAAAACCAGAACAGUUUUCGAGUGUGCAAGCCCUACUCUGGUUGUAAUCCCUGAUAUGCACUGGUAGCAGAUCAGCCACUCCUUAUUGGGGUGCACAGCUGUGUCUGUCAUGUGUCUGUAUUUACUGUGGAUUUUGCUAGUCACAGAGGGUGUUAUCCUACAUUUUGCAAGUUUAAUAUGUUAUCCUAUUAAAUAACUGUAAAUUAAAGGGGUAGUAUUUUGAAAGAAGAACUUAUCUUCUACAUAAUUUUGCUCCUAGGAAUUGCUGGUGUGAGUAAAGCUGUCCUUUAUUCACCGGCACAAUGGCAAAACAGGUUGGCAAUUCUGUGCUCAGUUCUCCGAGAUAAAAUGCAAGCCACCACUUACAGAAACCAUUUAAUACAAUUAUGGUUUUCUAUUUUGGCACUGCUUUUAAUAUCUUUGGGCAGAUUUCAUACACAGAGGUAAUGUUUUAAAUUAGGGGAAAGCCACUAAUCACAGUGAAUUUAGGUGAAGUGUUUGAUGGAGCUAUGAGUGGUACCUUAAAGAUUUAGGAAAAAAGGUCACUGUGACACCAACUGGAAGGCAAAAUUGUCACAAUCAAUUUUGUUAGACAACCAGAAACUCCACAAGACUGGAGUGGUGUAUAUAUACCUAUAGGUUCUAAUCCUACAGUAUUUAUAUACAUUUUUAGUGUAUUUCCCUGCAGACCUUAAGUAGAAUAGAUAAAUCCAUGGCUUGAAUAUAGAAAGUAAGAUCGUAGCAUCGACUGUAUUACGGAACUGUAAUUGAAGUCAUUGUGUAAAGCUGCUUGUUUCUCUCUAAUAAAAUGUGCAUCUACUGAAACGUUUUAUCCUUGGAUGUGGAUUUAAGAAUACAUCAAUGGGAAAGUGUUUGCAAAUGUUAACAUGAAAAUAGCACGGCAGAAAUGUCGUUUGCUGGCUUGGGAAGCACCUUUAGGAGCCGCACUAAUUCAGCGAGAAACUCGAGGGAGCAGAAGCGGGGAGAACAAACGCAAAGCAAUCCCUUCCUUUGUUUUUAUUCCGCUGGAGAAUGGAGAGGGGAGAACACACGCCAAGAAGAGCCCGGAAUCCCCGGGGCUUUCAGUUCUGAUUUUCAUUAGAGGUGAGCGGGGGUUUACAGCCAGAAGCGCUCGCUGCGAGCAAAUCCACGCGCGGGGACCGCUCCGUAAUCCCCCGGCGCGGCGGGGACGCGGGCUGUGGAGCGGAGAGGCUGUGCCCCGUGUCCCCAGCCCGGAGGGCAGCCCCAGCCCCCUGCCCGGGCGCACGUACUGCCGGCGCCCGGCCUCCGGCACCUCGGGAGCGGUGUCCCGGCCGCGAACCCCCCGCCCGGGCACCUGUGGGUAUCCCCACGGCCGGGCCCCGCUGCCCCAGCGCGUUUGUGCCCCGACGCGCAGCCCCUCGGCGGGGCGGGGCGGGGCGCGGGGGGCUGCGGCAUCCCAGCUCCCCAGGGGAUGCUGCCGCUGCCGGCGCGGGGGCGCGGAGCAGGAGGGAUCCUCUUUGACGUCAAGCAACCAUAAUAUAAUGAUCGCUCGUUCAUAUCCGGGUCCCCGGGCGGCUCCCCCGGGCCGCGCUCGGCCGCACUCGGCAGCGCAGUGAGGGAAGGCGGGUCGGCCAGGGCAGGGGCAGGGGCAGGGCAGGGGCAGGGCAGGGCAGGGCAGCGCGGCCGCCCGGAGGUGGCCGGCAGCGGCAGGGGUGCGGCGAGCGCAGCAUGCCCGCCGCCUCAGACGUGCCUGCCUCCCGCCGCCGCCGCCGCUGCUGCUGCCCAUGGAGAUCGCGCUGGUGACUCUGGAGAACGGCGGCACCACGGCCAUCGCGGGCGGCGACGAUGCCGCGGCCGCCGGCGGCCGGGCGCGCUGGCGGAGCAACUUGCUGCACCUCGCCGGCUCGCCGCAGCUGAGCGACGGGAAGGAGAGCGCCCCGCCGGCCCCGCCAGCCCCGCCGCCGCCGCCGCCCGUGGGGGACGAGGAGAGGGAGCGACCCCCGCCGGGUCCCCGGGCAGGAGGCGGCAGCGGCGCGGGCGGCCCCGACGAGCGGCCGGCGGAGCUCCGCAAAGCCCCCGCGCCGCCGCCGCGGCCGCCGCCCCGCGCCCCGCGCCCCGCCGCGGACGUGGGGCCGUCCGAGGAAGGGGGACACCGCCGGGGUAUGGCCAUGGCGGCGGCGGGCGACGAGGAGGAGGAGGCGGCGGCGGCCAGCCCGGGCGCCAUGCAUCACCAGCGGGUGCUGAUCAACAUCUCGGGGCUGCGCUUCGAGACGCAGCUGGGCACCCUCAACCAGUUCCCCGACACGCUGCUGGGGGACCCCGACAAGCGCAUUCGCUACUUCGACCCGCUCCGCAACGAGUACUUCUUCGACCGCAACCGGCCCAGCUUUGACGGCAUCCUCUACUUCUACCAGUCCGGGGGCAAGCUCCGCCGGCCCGUCAAUGUCUCCAUCGACGUCUUCGCCGACGAGAUCCGCUUCUACCAGCUGGGUGAGGAGGCCAUGGAGCGCUUUCGGGAGGACGAGGGCUUCAUCAAAGAGGAGGAGAAGCCUCUGCCUCGCAAUGAGUUCCAGCGCCAGGUCUGGCUCAUCUUUGAGUACCCCGAGAGCUCUAGCUCAGCCCGGGCCAUCGCCAUCGUCUCCGUGCUGGUCAUUCUCAUCUCCAUCAUCACCUUCUGCCUGGAGACCCUGCCCGAGUUCAGGGACGAGAGGGAGAUGCCCGUACCUCUGCCCCCACAAGGUGGAGGUUUGAAUGGCACGCCCGGGGACUCCCCACCCAUGCAGCCACCCAGUAGCCUGGCUGACCCCUUCUUUAUCAUCGAGACCACCUGUGUGAUCUGGUUCACCUUUGAGCUCCUCGUGCGCUUCUUCGCCUGCCCCAGCAAGCCCGAGUUCUCCCGCAACAUCAUGAACAUCAUUGACAUCGUGGCCAUCAUCCCCUACUUCAUCACCCUGGGAACCGAGCUGGCCCACGAGCAGCAGCAGCCCGGGGCUGGCAGUAGCAAUGGGAGUGGGGGCCAGCAGCAAGCCAUGUCCCUGGCCAUCCUCAGAGUCAUCCGCCUGGUCAGAGUCUUCAGGAUCUUCAAGCUCUCCAGGCACUCCAAGGGACUGCAGAUCCUGGGACAGACUUUGAAAGCCAGCAUGAGGGAGCUGGGCCUCCUCAUCUUCUUCCUCUUCAUCGGUGUGAUCCUAUUCUCCAGCGCCGUCUACUUUGCUGAGGCUGAUGACCCCGAGUCUCAUUUCUCCAGCAUCCCUGAUGCUUUCUGGUGGGCUGUGGUAACCAUGACUACUGUGGGCUAUGGGGACAUGAGACCUGUCACUGUGGGGGGCAAGAUUGUGGGCUCCUUGUGUGCCAUCGCUGGUGUGCUCACCAUUGCCCUCCCUGUCCCUGUCAUCGUGUCCAACUUCAACUACUUCUACCAUCGAGAGACUGACCAUGAAGAGCAGGCUAUCCUCAAAGAUGAACACAGUAGUGCUCAGGGCAGCACUGCAGGGGGAGAAGUGAAGAGAAGACCCAGUAAAAACUCUCUGAACAAAUCUGUUGUGCACUUGGAAAACAGUGAGGAGUUCAACAAUGGCACCAGCUCCUUCGAAAAAGCAAAUAUCAAAGCAAAAAGUAAUGUAGAUCUCAGAAAAUCCCUCUAUGCUCUCUGUCUGGACACCAAUAGAGAAACAGACCUGUGAGGAGAGGAGACAGUUAGAGUUCAGAGGGGCAGAAGGAUUUUCUGGUGUCAGAAACUUGCUACUAUAAUUAUUCUUUUAGUACCAAUUAGUUUUUUAAGUCAGGCUAUAUUUUAUAAAUUGAUCACUGUCCUGAGCAGUCCUCCAGGAAUACAUGUUUUUAUGUUCUUUUUCCAUGACACAAAGGGUCACCUAUUUUUAAAAUAGACUAAGAAUAAGCUACACUCCAUGAUGCAGGAGUUAGUAAAUUAUGACAGUGAAAAAUCUAAUUUGUAGAAACUUAUUUUAGCAAGUGGUCAUUGGUUUUGAAUGGGUAAUUUGUAACCAAAUUCAGUUGCUCCGAGUUUAGUUAAAGAACUGGGGGGAUAUGUGUGUGUGGAGAAUGAAUGGGUUGGGGAUGGGAGGGAGGAGUUUGAGGGGUUUUGUACUGUAGUUUCAAAGUGAAAUUAUUCAAAUAUAUUUUGUAUCUGUAUGACUGUAUUUAUGGUUGAAAGGACAUUUCUUAUUCCUGUGAAAUAUGAUAUCAUUAAAGCACUAGGAACAUUAGCAAAUCAGCACUUUCUGAGUUUUCCACUAGUGAUCAGUACAGAUCUGGUUAUCUUGUAUGUGAAGUAAAUUUGGUGCUUUAAACCCUAGAUCAGAAAACUUAUGUUGUCAUUGAUACGUUAGUUUCUUGUGAGCCUUAAAUUAUUAAAUAAUGUACAUAUACUUCUUUAUAAAUAAUUUUAUUAGUUACCUUCCUGUUUUAGAAUUUCUAACUAAUUCAGUCAUGUGCUUACUGGCCCCACUCAAAAAAGUAUAUGCAGCUUUUCUUUCUCUUUUUUCUUUUUUUUUUUUUUUGUGGUGUUACAGUUUUAUAUCUUUGUUAUAUUUUUGAGACCUAAAGGAAAAAAAUACAUUGUCUGCUGUUACUGGUUUCAAUCCAGUGCACAAUAGAUCGAAAGUGAUCUGAACAGAUUUUCAAGUGCACAACAGAUCAAAAACAUGAGGGAGUGGAUAGGCACAAUGAGAAAGUAGAAUAUUGAGUGUAAUGUCCGCAGAACUGUUUUCGUUGUACACUCCAGAUUCCUUGAGCAUGUGUAUCAGUCACCUUUAUGUAUGCACACACCAUUUGUGUACACAGUUCUCUGGUUUUAGUUCUCUCAGACUGGGAGUGGAUAGCACUUCAGGAGUUGAACGAGGCGUACUGUGCUGCUUCAACAACCAUCAUGUGGCUUUUCUCUUGGACACGGAUGGAAAGCACCAUCUUUUCAUCAAAACACACCCCUGGUUUCUUUUAUUUCUAAACAAAACCUUCUCAGUGCUGUGGAUUUUACAGUUGAGGUGUUGUUGAGACACAAGUGACACAUUGCCUUCAUCAGGAUCACAGCUACUCUGAAGACUGACACAAAGCUGCUCUGCUCCUUUAGCUCAAAGAGCUUUCUUACAAUUUCUCUUGCAAAGGACAUCUCUGUUUCCCCUUCCAACUUCUGUUGUAUUGCUGAAGGAGGUUCCAUGCCUUUCCCACAUCCUGUGGCACAGCAAGAGUAGCAGGGAAGAGAAGGCUUGAUUGUCAACAUCGCUCAAGCAGCAUUUGUUAUCCUGAGGUGCUGAUUCCAGUGGAAGAGAUUUUAGUGGAAGCUUCUCCUGCAGUGUGCACAGGCUUCAUUUCAGUACUCCCUCUAGCCUAGAGAAUUUUUGCUUGUUCACAUAAAGAGCGAACCUUCUGUGCUCUUGGCUUCUGACUGUUUGGAAUGCCCUCAGGAAGAUGGAGAUGGAAGUUCGGAUAGAGGGAAAGGAGGAAAGUGGGAUUCUUGAGAAGGAGCUGUUACCACUCCAUGAGAAGAGCGACCUGGAGCUCAAGCAGGAGCAGUGUUCUCCAGACAACUCUCCACGGUUUCCCUAACACACCAGUGAGCCACGAGACUGAGGCAGAAAUUCCAGUGUGGGGAGGGUGUGAGUCAUGAGAUGAAACUGACCAUUAGGAAGACACUGCUGCAGAGUCUGAAACCAAACCAGUCUAUUCCUUGUUCUCAAGUCAUCUUGGGUUAGAAGCUGCUGAAAAACUUCCUUCUGGAUAAAUAACUGAUGUCCCCAUCAUCCCCAGAAUUGGAUUCCUUCACUGGGAUUGCUGAAACACUGGUCUGCUCCAAGGUUUCUAUAAUAGAAGAAUUGUUCAGCUUCACAACAGGAGUGAGAAAAUUUUAAAUGCUUUGGGGCUCACUCCCAGGCACAAGAUUUUAUUAUUUGAACUUUUGUUUGGAAAUAAAUUGAGUUCUUGUCACAGAUUAGGCAUCUUAUCCCGUGCUUCUUACAUAUCAAACUUUCUUAUAAUUCUGGAAGAAGAUUGAAAUGUUUGUUCUCUUUCUUUUAUUGGCACUCAUCUUUGUUUAUUUAUUUUGUAUUCUUGAGAUGUGCUGCAUCUCUGGAGUUUGUAUUUCUACUUUUACCGUAAAAAUGCUGUACAUACAAGUCUAGAAUGCAUCUGCAGAUUAGUCUAAUUUUUCAUGUGACUUUGACUUGAACAUUUUUCUGUUUAUGUUUAUAUUGUUAUUUCAAAUAUGUGCAUUGCCUGUAUUCUUUAUGCCUGUUCCCCAUCUGUAACUCAAUAAAACAAUGUCCCCAUUCUUCAGAACCAUGUCCUGUGUGCGUGACCUGUCCUGUGAACCAUGUCCUGUGUAGUGAUAACAGUUUCUGAAUAAUAAUGACUGAUAAUUUAAAAUGUGCUAAUAUAUAUUUAUAUCUAUUUCUAUGUCUAUAUCUGUCUGUCACAGCCUGAAAUUCUUCUGAUGUGGGAUUUGAGACGGUAAAAAAAUUACCAGCAAGUGGUAAGCUCAGCUCAGGAAUAAUUCUUCAUAAGUCUUUUUGGACUUGAAAGGUACAUUUUCCUGCUCCAUAAAGGUUUAUGUUCUUUAUUUCAGUUCUCAUCCAUGGCUAAAUUUAAAACUGAUAUUACAUGAAUCAGUGGAGUGUCACCCAUUUCACCUGGAAUUUUUGUGAGGACAGUACUUCCCUGUAAAGCUCUUGGAACUGGAUGCUGUAAGACCUGGCCUUGCCUUGUGAGAGUCCUUUAGGCAGAUUCUCAGCUGGCAUGAACUAGCCUCAUUUCCUUGACAUUAGUGGAGCUCUUCUGGUUUUGCUCACUGAACACCUCAGAGUUUACCUGCAUUUAAAUGCAACUUGUUUCUGUGAAUCACAAACUGUUUAAAGGAAUUUCAUUGGGUUUUUUUGUAACCCUCUCUACUCAGGAAAAGAUUACCAUGACCUGGGAGAUCUGUGGGCUGAUAGAAGCCUUAGGCCUUUAACUAGAGAACUUCAUCCUUGUCACGUGGAUCUUCCCAUUCCUUCCAACUCCCCUGAUUUUGUUUUGCUGGAUAGAUCCAGUGAGGUGCUCAGUUCUGUGCUGUGGCAUAGUCCGGACUGACGAAAACAGAUGCACAAAUGGAUGCAAGACUGAGGCUUUAAUGAGGAGACUUCUGAGUCUGGAAACAGGCUUUGAUCUUAGAGUGAAUUUAUCAAAAUUCUGAGUGCUCUGAGCAUUCAUGGACAUUAAAGUCCCUCGGAGGAAGGGCAUGAAACAAUUCAGUGCCUCUCCUGCUUUGGGGAGAUUCAGUGUUUUUUGUUUUUUUCUUUGGAAAAGACAUUCAGUACUAGUAGAAACUUGAGGCCAUUGUACAAUGCUGGCUUUUUAUUGCUGUAAUAUUCCUUUGGGUCUCAAAGGUUUAGUGAAGUCAACAGGAAAUUUUUUAUCAGUGUGUUGGGAGCAUGUCCUUGCUGCAAGUAAGACUCCAUCAAAUACAGCUGUUUACAAAGCAAAGAAAGAAGGAUAUUUCUGGUCCUUGUCUGUUUAUUGCUGUAUGCCAGGCUUCUGUGUUGUGUUGCACUAAAUAGUUAUUAGUUGUUGUUUGGCACUGGGUGAUUGGAAAUUUGCAUAGAGUAGUCUUUAUAUUGCACUGAAUAGCUUACGUUAUAUCACGUGGUUUGUUAUUCCCUUCUCCCCUCACAUGGUCUCUCCCUCAUCCACCCCUCUGCCCUAUACCCCCGGGUGGUUUGUCCUCUGGUUACCCCUCCCCUCAGUGGUAUCCCAUUGGCUGCGGUCCUCUUCCCCCCGCCCCCAUUCCGUCGGGCAUAAAAGUCUCCCGCAAGAAGGGAACGUUCUCUUUUCUGCUUGGGGACGUUGCAAGAGUUUGAGGUGUUCUUUCUCAAGUCAAUAAAUGGAGGACCCUCGUCCCCACGUGGAGAAGAGCAUUUCUUGUCUUUUACUUUCAUCCAUGUAAGUCCGUGUGGACUGGAGUAUAUAGCUAGCCGGAGUGGACCCUCAAUAGCCCGUCAGACACGGAUUUGCAGGUUGCACCCCACGUUGGGGGCCAUUUUUAGCAGUUCGUUUGGGGGUCCCCGGGGGCCUCCUAAGCUGUAUCUUCGCUGGUAGCAGCAGGCAGGCAGGGAGACUCCACACGGCUUCUGGGGGUGUUAAUUAGAUGAGGGUUUAUUGGG